GCCCUUCCAUUCAUUGUAUAUACACUUCACAGCACAUAAAACAAAAUCCAAAUCAAACUUUUUACUACUUGAGAAUCAACUAUAAAGCAGCAGAGAGAUUCCAAAGAAAUAUCAGAUUCAAAUUGUCAUAAUUUUAAAGAUACAUUAUGUACUCAAAGAAAUUCAAAAUUUUUAACACAUGACCUAAUAAUCAAGUGGGCUCUCCUGAAAGACUUAGAAUCUAAUGGUUCUUCGCCAUCUAUAUUUCAUUUCUCUAUUCCACAUCUUUACUAAGACCACAUCAAUAUAAUACCCUAUGUAAUUUUAAUUUUCUAACCACAUUUUUAGAGUGACAAUACAAGCAAACUCAGACAAGCACUAGUAUCUUUGUAUCUAUAGCUGUUCUCCGAUCUCAUUUUAAGCUUCAAAUCAAUUUAUUCCAUCCAUCAAUAAUUCUUAAAACCUAUUAGUUGGCACUUCCAGCCUAACACAACCUCAGCUGCAAUUCCUAUGACAUUUUGGAAGCUCCCAUGGCCGCAAAUUUUGUCGAGCUUUAACCAUCUAUGAUCAAACCUAAACACACAUAUUAGCUCCUACAUACAAAAUUCUACAAAAUAUUUGAUUUUGAGCAACUUCUCAAAAACUCUACAGAACAGUGAAGGCCCAAAGACUUUGCCGCACUAAAUAAACAAUACCUUGAAUGUUGUGCAACAUGCCUACAAACCCAAAAUCAUAUUCUGUUUUAACAAUGUUAUGAAAUUAUCUCUUCAAGAGGUCUUUGCUAAUAGCAACAUUUUAUUGGAUAUAUUCUCAAAAUUUUCCUCAAAAGAAACCUCCCUAUUGGACUUGGCUAUCUAUAUACAUAUCCCUCAUUAUUGUAUGAUUUAUGAACUGCUUAUUUGCAAGACAACAAUUGCAUCAGAUACUCAAAUAUACAUGCUUAACAAAUAACAAUUAUACAAUCACAUAAACAUAGAUAUAUAAUUAAAAGUUUUAUCAAAAAAAAAAAAUUCAACGGACAUUUCAUUUCAGCAACAAAUUAGAAGAAUAAAAAAAAAUCUACAGGUUAACAAUCUCAUAAUCUGAUGUAGAAGUUUG
rnacentral:misc_RNA from 1 species